rnacentral:rRNA from 1 species
UACGAAGGGGGCUAGCGUUGCUCGGAAUCACUGGGCGUAAAGGGUGCGUAGGCGGGUCUUUAAGUCAGGGGUGAAAUCCUGGAGCUCAACUCCAGAACUGCCUUUGAUACUGAGGAUCUUGAGUUCGGGAGAGGUGAGUGGAACUGCGAGUGUAGAGGUGAAAUUCGUAGAUAUUCGCAAGAACACCAGUGGCGAAGGCGACUUACUGGACACAUAUUGACGCUGAGGUGCGAAAGCGUGGGGGAGCAAACAGG